UACGAUAGGUAACAAUUAACAUUAAUAAGAGAAGGUCGAAAAAUGUCAUACACGAUUUUGUCAGCCAUUUAAUCCACAUCUUUUCUACUCCAGAGCACGGUGUCUCUCAUAAUUAUGUAAUUCAUUGUUGUGAGAAUAUAGACUCCGCUGUCUUGAGUUUUCUUGUAUAAUGUUUGGGAAAAAAAUUCAAUCAGUCGUGUAAGCUAAUGCGAUUUAUAAUGAUCAUAAUACAUGUUCAUAAUGAAGUGACUCAGCCAUAACACCUGCAUUCAAGAAAUGUAUGAAAUUCUGAAAUUCAAUAAAAUAAUGUUGACAUUCUAAGUUAUAAAACUUACACAGUCUGCAAAUUGUUUUUCAACGGUUUCAAAUUGUUUUCGUAGUGAUAAAAUGUUUUCGCGCAAAUGCACAGAAAUAUUAAAUGCCAUACUCCUUGUUUCUCAAUGAGGACUAAUAUUUUUUCGAUUUUAAUUCAGUCGUCAUUUUACCCAUCUAGGUUUUUCUUCAAUGUUAACCAUUCAUUAUCAUUUAAUUGUCUAUUCGGAGGUUUAUAAUUUUCAUUUCUAAUAUUACAAAGUAAAUGCUUGUAAAAUCAUAUCAUUUGGAUUGGGUGCAAGAAUUUUACUAUUCCAGGUCUCAUAUGACGACAUAUCAUGGAUCU
rnacentral:lncRNA from 1 species